CCUACGGGAGGCAGCAGUGAGGAAUAUUGGUCAAUGGGCGAGAGCCUGAACCAGCCAAGUCGCGUGAGGGAGUACUGCCCUAUGGGUUGUAAACCUCUUUUGUCGGGGAGCAAAAGCAGGACGUGUCCGGCUGUGAGAGUACCCGAAGAAAAAGCAUCGGCUAACUCCGGGCCAGCGGCCGCGGUAAUGCGGAGGAUGCGAGCGUUAUCCGGGUUUAUUGGGUUUAAAGGGUGCGCAGGAGGGUUUGUAAGUCAGCGGGAAAAUCGUGGGGCUCAAACCCAUAAAGUCGUUGAUACUGGGGGUCUAGAGUGUGCUAGAGGUAUGCGGAAUGCGUGGUGUAGCGGUGAAAUGCAUAGAUAUCACGCAGAACCCCGAUUGCGAAGGCAGCAUACCGGUGCACAACUGACGCUCAGGCACGAAAGUGUGGGUAUCGAACAGGAUUAGAUACCCUUGUAGUC
rnacentral:rRNA from 1 species